UACGUAGGGCGCAAGCGUUAUCCGGAAUUAUUGGGCGUAAAGAGCUCGUAGGCGGUUUGUCGCGUCUGCCGUGAAAGUCCGGGGCUCAACUCCGGAUCUGCGGUGGGUACGGGCAGACUAGAGUGAUGUAGGGGAGACUGGAAUUCCUGGUGUAGCGGUGAAAUGCGCAGAUAUCAGGAGGAACACCGAUGGCGAAGGCAGGUCUCUGGGCAUUAACUGACGCUGAGGAGCGAAAGCAUGGGGGAGCGAACAGGGA
rnacentral:rRNA from 1 species